GACAGAGGCCUCAAGCGUUAGGCGGAAUCACUGGGCUUAAAGCGUGUGUAGGCGGACUUCUAAGUGCCCUGUGAAAUCCCACGGCUCAACCGUGGAACUGCUGGGCAUACUGGGAGUCUUGGGCCAUUCAGGGGCAACUGGAACAAGCGGUGGAGCGGUGAAAUGCGUAGAUAUCAGGAGGAACACCGAUGGCGAAGGCAGGUCACUGGGCCGCAACUGACGCUGAGGAGCGAAAGCAUGGGGAGCGAACAGG
rnacentral:rRNA from 1 species